rnacentral:rRNA from 1 species
AUGGAUGUCAAGUGCCGGCGUCUGGAGGGGAAGGUGGCCGUCGUGACGGCUUCCACGCAGGGCAUCGGCCUCGCCAUCGCCGAGCGCCUCGGCCUGGAGGGCGCCGCGGUCGUCAUCUCCUCCCGCAAGCAGAAAAACGUGGACGAGGCGGUGGAGGGCCUCAGGGCAAAGGGGAUCACCGUUGUCGGGGCCGUCUGCCACGUCUCCAACGCCGAGCAGCGCAAGCACCUCGUCGACACGGCCGUCAAGAAUUUCGGACAUAUUGAUAUUGUUGUCUCCAAUGCCGCUGCAAAUCCUUCUGUGGAUAGCAUACUAGAGAUGAAAGAGUCAGUUCUUGACAAGCUAUGGGAUAUUAAUGUCAAAGCUUCUAUUCUUCUACUUCAGGACGCCGCACCACAUUUGAGGAAGGGAUCAUCUGUGAUACUAAUUUCUUCAAUUGCUGGCUAUAAUCCUGAUGCAGCUUUAACGAUGUAUGGUGUUACAAAGACUGCCCUUUUUGGUCUCACGAAGGCUCUUGCUACUGAGAUGGGCCCAAAUACCCGUGUUAACUGUAUAGCUCCUGGGUUUGUUCCUACACGUUUUGCUGGUUUCCUCACAACUAAUGAGACCAUUAGAAAUGAACUUAUCGAGAGGAGCAUACUUAAGAGAUUGGGUAGUGUGGAAGACAUGGCUUCAGCCGCCGCUUUCCUGGCAUCCGACGAUGCAUCCUUCAUUACAGCUGAAACAAUUGUUGUUGCCGGAGGAACACAAUCAAGACUAUAG